AACGAACGCUGGCGGCAGGCUUAACACAUGCAAGUCGAACGCAUCCUUCGGGGUGCGCGGCAGACGGGUGAGUAACGCGCGGGAACGUGCCCUUCAGUUCGGGAUAACCCAGGGCAACAUGGGCUACUACCGCAUACGUGCGCGUGCAGAAAGAUUUAUCGCUGAAGGAUCGGCCAGCGUCUGAGUUGCUAGUGGGUGGGGUAAUGGCCCACCAAGGCCACGAUCAGUAGCUGGUCUGAGAGGAUGAUCAGCCACCUUGGGCCUGAGACAAGGCCCAAACUCCUACGGGAGGCAGCAGUGGGGAAUAUUGGACAAUGGGCGCAAGCCUGAUCCAGCCAUGCCGCGUGAGUGAUGAAGGCCUUAGGGUUGUAAAGCUCUUUCGUCCGGGACGAUAAUGACGGUACCGGAAGAAGCAGCCCCGGCUAACUUCGUGCCAGCCGCCGCGGUAA
rnacentral:rRNA from 1 species